rnacentral:rRNA from 2 species
ACACGUGAGUAACCUGCCCUUGACUCUGGGAUAAGCCUGGGAAACUGGGUCUAAUACCGGAUAUGACCUUCCAUCGCAUGGUGGUUGGUGGAAAGCUUUUGUGGUUUUGGAUGGACUCGCGGCCUAUCAGCUUGUUGGUGGGGUAAUGGCCUACCAAGGCGACGACGGGUAGCCGGCCUGAGAGGGUGACCGGCCACACUGGGACUGAGACACGGCCCAGACUCCUACGGGAGGCAGCAGUGGGGAAUAUUGCACAAUGGGCGGAAGCCUGAUGCAGCGACGCCGCGUGAGGGAUGACGGCCUUCGGGUUGUAAACCUCUUUCAGUAGGGAAGAAGCGAAAGUGACGGUACCUGCAGAAGAAGCGCCGGCUAACUACGUGCCAGCAGCCGCGGUAAUACGUAGGGCGCAAGCGUUAUCCGGAAUUAUUGGGCGUAAAGAGCUCGUAGGCGGUUUGUCGCGUCUGCCGUGAAAGUCCGGGGCUCAACUCCGGAUCUGCGGUGGGUACGGGCAGACUAGAGUGAUGUAGGGGAGACUGGAAUUCCUGGUGUAGCGGUGAAAUGCGCAGAUAUCAGGAGGAACACCGAUGGCGAAGGCAGGUCUCUGGGCAUUAACUGACGCUGAGGAGCGAAAGCAUGGGGAGCGAACAGGAUUAGAUACCCUGGUAGUCCAUGCCGUAAACGUUGGGCACUAGGUGUGGGGGACAUUCCACGUUUUCCGCGCCGUAGCUAACGCAUUAAGUGCCCCGCCUGGGGAGUACGGCCGCAAGGCUAAAACUCAAAGGAAUUGACGGGGGCCCGCACAAGCGGCGGAGCAUGCGGAUUAAUUCGAUGCAACGCGAAGAACCUUACCAAGGCUUGACAUGAACCGGUAAUACCUGGAAACAGGUGCCCCGCUUGCGGUCGGUUUACAGGUGGUGCAUGGUUGUCGUCAGCUCGUGUCGUGAGAUGUUGGGUUAAGUCCCGCAACGAGCGCAACCCUCGUUCUAUGUUGCCAGCACGUGAUGGUGGGGACUCAUAGGAGACUGCCGGGGUCAACUCGGAGGAAGGUGGGGACGACGUCAAAUCAUCAUGCCCCUUAUGUCUUGGGCUUCACGCAUGCUACAAUGGCCGGUACAAAGGGUUGCGAUACUGUGAGGUGGAGCUAAUCCCAAAAAGCCGGUCUCAGUUCGGAUUGGGGUCUGCAACUCGACCCCAUGAAGUCGGAGUCGCUAGUAAUCGCAGAUCAGCAACGCUGCGGUGAAUACGUUCCCGGGCCUUGUACACACCGCC